UACUUGGUUGAUCCUGCCAGUAGUAAUAUGCUUGUCUCAAAGAUUAAGCCAUGCCUGUGUAAGUAUAAACAAAUUCAAACUGUGAAACUACGAAUGGCUCAUUCAAUCAGUUAUAGUUUGUUUGAUGGUAUCUACUACUCGGAUAACCAUAGUAAUUCUUGAGCUAAUACGUAGAACAAACCACGACAUGUGGAAGGGAGGCAUUUAUUAGAUAAAAGGUCGACGUGGGCUCUGCCAAUUAUUGUGAUUAUUCGUGAAAACUCGACGGAUCGUAUGGCCAUGGUGCCGGCGAUGCAUCAUUCACAUUUCUACCCUAUCA
rnacentral:ncRNA from 1 species